rnacentral:lncRNA from 1 species
GCUCUUGGGCCUUUGGCCACAGACUGAAGGCUAUACUGUCAGCUUCCCUACUUUUGAGGGUUGGGGACUUGCGUUGAGCCACUACUGACUUCCUUGCUCCUCAACUUGCAGAUAGCUUAUCCUGGGACUUGACCUUGUGAUCAUUGACCUCUGAAGUUUUUAUUGGCCUUCAGUUCCCCCAAAGGAUUCCCUGCUUCUGCUGGCUUAACGUCUGAGAACUUUGUUGUCAUUGGUCUCAGACACCACGUUACCAUCUACUAUCCGGUAGGUGGUGGUCUUUUGAAUGGUUGCAUGGGAGUUGCUGCUGUUCAAGUCAUCACCAAGAUUGAAGUCCUUGCCAUCUUCCAGCAGGUGGCGGUAGGUGGCGAACCUGUAGCUUGACCUUGAUGUUCAGCAGAGCCUGGUACUCCUGAGCCUGGUGUUGUCCCUCUGCCCAGGUCUGUGUGAGCUCCGACUCCAGGUGUAGCAGGAUCUCCUUGAGCUCCUCCAUCUGCAGGGCAUAGUGGGCCUCCACAUCCCUCAGGCUGUUCUCCAAGCUGGCCUUCAGGUGCUCCCAGAUCUUGCUCUCCAGCUGCCAGUUCUCUGUCUCCAGGCUCCUCACUCUGUCCAGGUAGGAGGCCAGGUGGUUGUUCAGGCUUUGCAUUCCUGCCAGAACCUCCCAUUCCUGCCAGAACCCCUGCCAUCCCCGCAGCCAGGCCCCUGGACCCCAAGCCACCCGGGAAGCUGGUGGAGUGGGACACAGAGAUCCAAGAACCAGAGACCCUGGCGCCUGCAUAGAUGCUGGCCACGCUGCUGA